rnacentral:ncRNA from 1 species
GCAGAGAUAAAAACACAAGCCGGUUGGUAGUCCGGCGCGGAUUUAUCCGUAAGUAACCUUCCUCCUUAGGUCGUCCGUUCUCUGUAUGAA